GCAGAGUAAUUGUUGAGCGUAAAGUGUUGUGCCAUGGGAUGUUGGGCAUAGACGAACUAUCAUUAUGAUAGGCGGUUUGAUAAUGCGUCCGCUG
rnacentral:ncRNA from 1 species